GCCGCAGGGUGUGCGCUUGCGCCGAGCUCCGGGACAGGGCGUGUUCCCCGUUCCGGUCCGCGUUUUGCUCUGAACGAGUGCAUCUCUUGCCACUCAAGUGCGCCCUGCGGAAACCUGUGGUUCUUUCGCCCCACCUGUUAGGUGCUGCCUUCGGCGAACAUGUCCAAGUCUCUGAAAAAGUUGGUGGAGGAGAGCCGGGAGAAGAACCAGCCGGAAGUGGACAUGAGUGACCGGGGCAUCUCCAACAUGCUGGAUGUCAACGGCUUGUUCUCCUUAUCCCACAUCACACAACUGGUCCUCAGCCAUAACAAGCUAACAACUGUGCCGCCAAACAUAGCAGAGCUGAAGAAUUUGGAAGUGCUGAACUUCUUUAAUAACCAGAUUGAGGAGCUGCCCACACAGAUCAGCAGCCUUCAAAAACUCAAACACCUGAAUCUGGGCAUGAACAGACUGAACACUUUGCCUCGAGGAUUUGGCUCUCUCCCAGCUCUUGAGGUCCUUGAUUUGACUUACAACAACUUGAAUGAAAACUCUCUUCCCGGAAACUUCUUCUACCUUACCACCCUGCGCGCACUCUAUCUAAGUGACAACGAUUUUGAAAUCCUGCCGCCAGAUAUCGGGAAGCUCACAAAGUUGCAGAUACUCAGCCUUAGGGAUAACGACCUGAUCUCGCUGCCUAAAGAAAUCGGAGAGCUUACUCAGCUUAAGGAACUCCACAUUCAGGGGAACCGCCUGACCGUUCUGCCCCCAGAACUAGGAAACUUGGAUUUAACUGGUCAGAAGCAAGUGUUCAAAGCAGAGAACAAUCCCUGGGUUACCCCCAUUGCUGACCAGUUCCAGCUUGGCGUGUCCCACGUGUUUGAAUAUAUCCGUUCUGAGACAUACAAAUAGCUAGCAUCGCUCUGGGAUGAAUGCCACCCGCUGUAAUUGUCGGGUACUUUGUCAACAUUUAAUCAACGGUACUUAUUAACGCGGCAUUGAUGUGUGGUCGCCAUCCCACUGCCAUCAAUCACGUGUGAGCAGCCUGAGCAGGCUCGGACACCAUUGCUCUCUGUCACAUUAUCCAGCCCCUGGGCUUUCCGGCCAGGCGUGAUGCUCACUUUUCACUAAAUGGACACUCUGUCUCUUCAGUUCGACCCAGUUUUUGUCAUUGUCGACUUAAACGCUCACAGCCGUUAGAGCUUCAUUCCGGAACAGCUGGGCUGAGCAUUACCGGUUCUCACAGCCCCAGAUCUCUUCUGCCUUUGGUGUUGUCACACUCUGCCCAGUGAACGUGAAAUUCCGGGACACUUGUCCAGAAUUGACCUCAUCAUGCACUGCGUGUGUGUGCGCACAUGUGGAAGAGAAUUUCAAAUUCCUAAAUAAAAGCCUCUACGGCAGACACAUGCAGGCGAACCCAGAACCGCCGAAGAAAAAUAAUGACAAAUCGAAAAAGAUCAGCCGGAAACCCCUGACAGCCAAGAACAAAUAAAGGGUUGGCAUGGGCUGGACUUCUCGUUACUCCUCUUCCUUGUUAUUACUUCUGUUCCCUGUUACUGUAUACCACCAAUAAAUACAAUGUGUGUGUCGCUUUUCCACUCUCUCCUUCUAGCACUUAACCACUUCACCUCUUAACAUGCUUUUGGUAGGUGGUAGAUUUUUAUAAGUUCUCAAAAUCAUUUCCAUUUGUUUCCUUACAACUGCCAAAGGCAGGAAACAAAGCUCUAAUUCAACUGCAAAUUCCAGAGGAGGCACAGACCGCAGCUCCUUGAAUAGAUGUUCACUAAGGUGCGUGUUCUGAAAAGAAUAAUUAAAAAAUCAUGCGAUCACUUAAAUGUCACCACUAACACUGUUCGCUCUUCUGUUUAUUCACAGAACUCAUUACUUUGCUUUGUGAAAAGCUUUCCUUAACCAUCAAGGUAUUGUGUUAACUUACAAGUAAUUUUUAAUAAAAUCUUGAAUUUGUA